CGCGGCCUAUCAGCUUGUUGGUGGGGUAACGGCCCACCAAGGCAACGACGCGUAGCGGGUCUGAGAGGACGACCCGUCACAUUGGGACUGAGAUACGGCCCAGACUCCUACGGGAGGCAGCAGUGGGGAAUAUUGCGCAAUGGACGAAAGUCUGACGCAGCGACGCCGCGUGUGGGAGGAAGCCCUUCGGGGUGUAAACCACUGUCAGAAGGGAAGGACGUCGGCUGUUCGAAUAGGACAGCUGAGUGACGGUACCUCCAAAGGAAGCGCCGGCUAACUCCGUGCCAGCAGCCGCGGUAAGACGGAGGGCGCAAGCGUUGUUCGGAAUUACUGGGCGUAAAGCGCGGGCAGGCGGCCUGUUAAGUCUACUGUGAAAACCCGGAGCUCAACUCCGGGAAUGCAGUGGAUACUGGCGGGCUAGAGAAUGGUAGAGGCUAGCGGAAUUCCUGGUGUAGCGGUGGAAUGCGUAGAUAUCAGGAAGAACACCUGUGGCGAAGGCGGCUAGCUGGGCCAUUUCUGACGCUCAUCCGCGAAAGCGUGGGGAGCAAACAGGGUUAGAUACCCUGGUAGUCCACGCCGUAAACGAUGGGCACUAGAUGCCGGGUCUAUAGACGGGCUCGGUGUCGAAGCUAACGCAUUAAGUGCCCCGCCUGGGGAGUACG
rnacentral:rRNA from 1 species